rnacentral:rRNA from 1 species
UACGUAGGGGGCAAGCGUUGUCCGGAAUCAUUGGGCGUAAAGCGCGUGUAGGCGGCCAGAAAAGUCCGCUGUGAAAACUCGAGGCUCAACUUCGAGCUGUCGGUGGAAACUUUCUGGCUAGAGUCCGGGAGAGGAGAGUGGAAUUCCUGGUGUAGCGGUGAAAUGCGCAGAUAUCAGGAAGAACACCCGUGGCGAAAGCGGCUCCCUGGAACGGUACUGACGCUGAGACGCGAAAGCGUGGGGAGCGAACAGG